UGCAUUACGCAUGCACGAACAUGUUAACACGUUAGGAUGUACCACCACGGCUCACUAAAACCUCUUGCUGGACAAAUGUCUGGUUUGUGACUCCCAUACAUACUCGAAUUCUCAUUCAAUUUCUGUUUACCAUGCAGUUUAGAAUUUGUGGGGGGUGGGGAGGGGUUGCGAGCGGUAAAAAAUCGGCAUCAUGUGCAACUUGGAUUUCUGACCCUACCCGCCCUUCGGUCUCUCAUGUAGGCUACUGUAUCAAACAAGCAACUGCCCUCCUAUUUAGAGUUACAGAGACUAACUACGUGCCUAAAGUGUCAGAGGGUUCUACCCGGGACUAGCCUGGGGGUGAACUGUAUUUUACUUAAUGACCUGUUAUUUGAACAGUUAUUGGUAGCCUACCAACUCUCUCGAUUGUUACCAUACUAUUUUUUUUUUUUUUGCAAUACGUCGAACGUAGCUCACAAACCAUAGCCUACUUCUAUUUGAUGAAGUAAACUCAAGCCUGACAGAUAAGGAGAUGUUCCUUAUCUGUAUGCGGCUCACGAAACGAAGGUGUGCACGCGCCACAUAGCACCAGCACCCUCAGUGCGUCUCGGACAGAGGUGAGCUACAGAGGCAUCCACUGCUUCCUGGCUUGGCUGACCGUUACUCACCCCUGGUGUUCUGAUUAAUGCAUAGAUUCAAAAAUGAAGUGGCUCAACCUUUCUCCAGUGCAGGUCUGUAAUUGCAAGUAAAAAUGACAAUGA
ensembl:lncRNA